rnacentral:rRNA from 1 species
CCUACGGGUGGCAGCAGUGGGGAAUAUUGCGCAAUGGGCGAAAGCCUGACGCAGCGACGCCGCGUGAGGGAUGAAGGUCUUCGGAUCGUAAACCUCUGUCAGCAGGGAAGAAAGGUCACUGUGGUAAUCAGCAGUGAAUUGACGGUACCUGCAAAGGAAGCACCGUCUAACGCCGUGCCAGCAGCCGCGGUAAUACGGAGGGUGCGAGCGUUAAUCGGAAUUACUGGGCGUAAAGCGCGCGUAGGCGGUAUGUCAAGUCAAGGGUGAAAUCCCCGCGCUCAACGUGGGAACUGCCUUGGAAACUGGCGAGCUGGAGUGUGUGAGAGGAUAGUGGAAUUCCUGGUGUAGGAGUGAAAUCCGUAGAUAUGAGGAGGAACACCAGUGGCGAAGGCGUCUUACUGGACCGGAACUGACGUUGAGGCUCGAAAGCGUGGGGAGCAAACAGGAUUAGAUACCCGUGUAGUC